rnacentral:rRNA from 1 species
UACGGAGGGUGCGAGCGUUGUCCGGAAUCACUGGGCGUAAAGGGCGCGUAGGUGGCGCGACAAGUCAACGGUGAAAGCUCGGCGCUCAACGCCGAGUCGGCCGUCGAUACUGUCGGGCUUGAGCACUGUAGAGGCAGAUGGAAUUCCGGGUGUAGCGGUGGAAUGCGUAGAGAUCCGGAAGAACACCGGUGGCGAAGGCGGUCUGCUGGGCAGUAGCUGACACUGAGGCGCGACAGCGUGGGGAGCAAACAGG